rnacentral:rRNA from 1 species
GACGAACGCUGGCGGCGUGCUUAACACAUGCAAGUCGAACGGUAAGGCCCUUCGGGGUACACGAGUGGCGAACGGGUGAGUAACACGUGGGUGAUCUGCCCUGCACUUCGGGAUAAGCCUGGGAAACUGGGUCUAAUACCGGAUAGGACUCCGGACUGCAUGGUCUGGGGUGGAAAGCUUUUGCGGUGUGGGAUGGGCCCGCGGCCUAUCAGCUUGUUGGUGGGGUGAUGGCCUACCAAGGCGACGACGGGUAGCCGGCCUGAGAGGGUGACCGGCCAAACUGGGACUGGGAUACGGCCCAGACUCCUACGGGAGGCAGCAGUGGGGAAUAUUGCACAAUGGGCGCAAGCCUGAUGCAGCGACGCCGCGUGGGGGAUGACGGCCUUCGGGUUGUAAACCUCUUUCAGCAUCGACGAAGCGAAAGUGACGGUAGGCGCAGAAGAAGGACCGGCCAACUACGUGCCAGCCGCCGCCGUAA